rnacentral:rRNA from 1 species
UGAGCAAUCUGCCCUUCUCAUCGGAAUAAGCGUUGGAAACGACGUCUAAUGCCGAAUACGACCUCCUUUCGCAUGAUCGGAGGUGGAAAGCUCCGGCGGAGAAGGAUGAGCUCGCGGCCUAUCAGCUAGUUGGUGUGGUAAUGGCCCACAAGGCGACGACGGGUAGCCGGCCUGAGAGGGUGACCCGGCCACACGUGGGACUGAGACACGGCCCAGCU